rnacentral:lncRNA from 1 species
GCAAUACAGCCCAGUGACUGGCAGGGAAGCCUUUCAUUUUGCCUCUUAGACCUUAGCCACGGGCUUGUUGGGAAUCCAUUUUGGUCAACUCCUCUCUUUUCAAAUGAUUCCUUACAGAAAGCACACUAAAUAGGAAAUGGAGUGAUGUUCUGAGAUAAAGGAUGACAUCUUAGUGGAAGAAGAUACAGUGGAGGCCACUGCCUAGUUCGAAAAAAUGAAGGAAUGGCGACUUCAUGCUCUGAUUUGGGAUUAGAAGGCCAGUGCCCCUCCCUCCUCACCCCUGGCUCUCUUCAAUUGUCUCUGUCACCUGGGCCUGGGCCUUGCCUAUGCCAAACCUCUCUGGAAAAACAAGGUGAGCUGUCUCUAUGCAAGAUCCCACGUGGUUGCAGUAUUUAGAGUCCAUUACAAAAGAAAGGGCACUUUCAGGUGAUCUUUCCAUUUUCCUAGGAAAAAAGCAAGAACAAAAUGCUUCUGGAUCCUGACUGUGCAUAGACCUGUACCACAUCAUUUAGGUAUUAUGUGCCUUGUACUGAGAAAUGCUGAUUGCAAAGCACAGAAACUACAGGAAACUAAAAUAAUCACUAAAAGGUACUGAACUUUUCUUAAACCUGAUUUAUUGAGCUCUUACAGACUACGGCUCUUGAAUUAAAGAUAAAGAGAAAAAAGCCAGAUUUAAAAAUCAAGACAAUCCUUACCUCAACUUUUCUGCUUAACAUAUAGAUGAAAAAUGGGGGUGAAUUUCCAUGAAUAAAAAAAUUCCUGAACAUUAUUCAAAUCCAGUAAACAAUAUUUACUACUUGAAGAAAUGGAAAAACUGUUUAGUAUCCUGAGUUUUAAUAAUUCUUCUUGAACCCAGUGGAUAUUUUGGAUUAUCUUAGUUCUUCAACUAGACUCAGAUUAUAAGAGAAACUGCAGGGCUAGGGUUGUAGCUCAGCAGUAGUAUACUUGGCCUAGCAUGCACCAAACCCUGGGUUUAAUCCCCAGUAAAGAAAAGAAAGGAAAAGAGAAAAAAAAAAGCAAGAGGAACUGCACAGGAAACUGUAUUAAUGUUUUGAGUUUUCUAAUUCUAAAUGAUUUUUAGUAAUAAGCAUGUCUACCAAAUUAGAAAAUUUUAAAAUUUUAAUGAGAAAAUUCAUGUAGUAAUUCCAUUUUUAGGGAUGUGAUCUACAGGAAUGCAUGCAUUUUUUAAUGAAAAGAUAUAUGAAGAAGUAAUUUUGCUGUAUUGUAUUGUUUACAACAAAAAAUACUGUAGUCAGAAUUUGGCCUAUGUAAAAUUGAUACGGUCUUGUAGUGGGACACCAUGCAGCCAUUAAGAUGAUUUAAAUAUAUGAAAAGUAUCCAGUGUGUAUUUCAAUCUCACACAUAUAAACACCCCAAAAUGCACACACACAUAAUGCACAUGUAAAUAUAUGCUGCAGACAUUUGUAGGGAUUUCAAAGAACAAAAAACAACAACAAAAAAAUCAAACAUUUAAUAUUGGGAUUGUAAGUAGAAAAGGUAUUUUACUUUUAACACUUCAAAAAUACUUGAAUUAUUUUUAACAUGAACACAUUGGGAAGAUAAAAAGAUGUUUGAUGAGUAUCCAUGCUAAUAUUAAAAAUGAGGAUAAAUAUUGAGUGUUAAAUGUGAUUCCACUGUAAAUAUAUAUAAUACCUCCAGAAAAUGAUUUAGCAAUAAGCUUGUUUGUAUAUUUGGAUUCCAGAAUCUACUUCAAGAGUCUCCCUACAUAUAUAAUUUCGAAGUACAAAAAAUUUAUGUAGAAAGUGUCUGAAAGAAUGAUUUAUCAUAGCCAAAAAUGAAGACAAUUUACAUAUGUAACCUAAAUGAACUAGUCAAUUUUGGUAAAUUUGCACAAAUAGAAAUUAUGGUGAAUUCAUGAAAAGGUUUGCCUAUUGAUCAUGUUGCAGUGAUAAGGUGUCAAAAAUGUUAUGAUCAUAGCAAUAUAAAUAUACAAAAACAGGGCAAAAAUUGCAUGUGAUAGAUGUCAAGUGAUGUCAAAAUGUUAACAAUUGUUAUUUUAUCGUGUAAGCUUGUUUAUAUUGUAAUUGCCAUUUAUAUUAUAUAUCUUUUUUCUAUAAUGAUCAGAUUCAAUUCUACAAUAAAAACAAACUAUUUUAAAAAUUUUAGUACUAUUCCUACCAACACCAAAAAAUGCUGGACAUGUCAGAUGAUUCAGUGACCAAAAAAGAAAAUCAACUAAUGAGAGAAAUUUGAAAAACUUUCUCCUGUAGGGAAAUCAGUGAUUCCAAGGAUGGAAGCACUCAGUCAAGUCAGGUGGCCUUAAUCCUUGCCUGAAAUAUUGCUUCUAUCUAAGGUGUGAGAACAUUCUCAGUAUGGCUUACCAGCCAUGAUUAAGUACCAUUGAUCAUACAGAAGACCCUAAAGAAUAACAUAAAGAUAUUUCUCUGCAACAAACUAUAGUUGAGAAAAUUCAGGAAGAGUCAUAUUUGCAUUUUAAUAGGAUUUUUUCCAUUCCCUAUUUAGCACAAAGUAAGUUUAUGUGCUUCUGGGUUUGGGACAUUAUGUAAAUCCCAUCAUAUUUAAUAUGUUUGGCAUUUUGUUUCAUAGUUCAAGGAGAUAUUGUGGAAGUAAUAUAAUAUUUUGCUUAAAUAUUCAUAUACAGAUAGUAAAACUAUAUAGCAAAGAAAGACAAGAAUUAGCACAAAGUCUAACAGGGUUGACCUCUGAG